rnacentral:lncRNA from 1 species
GGGUGCAGAAGACGGGCGCCGUGCGGGGGGAGCACGGGGGGGACUGCCCCCAGGGCUACAAGCGCCUCAACAGCAGCCACUGCCAGGGUAGGCGGGCGUGCAAGGGGCGUGCAAAUGGGUGUGCAAACGGGCGUGCAACGGGCGUGCAGGGGGCAUGCAUUGGGCGUGCAUUGGGCAUGCAACGGGCAUGCAACAGGCAUGCAAUGGGUGUGCAACGGGCGCGCAAUGAGCGUGCAACGGGUGUGCAAUGAGCGUGCAAUGGGUGUGCAAGGGGCGUGCAGGGAGCAUGCAGGCGGGGGGGCGUGUGUGCAGCGGGGGGGGUGUGCAUGGGGCCGUGCAUGCGCACACGUGGCGCAAGCAAGCGGGGGAGCGCGUGUGUGCAAACACCGGGGGGGCACACGGGCGUGCACGGGGUGGGUGUGCACGGGACCGCGCGUGCAAGCACCACGGGGGUGUGCACAGCACCAGGUGUGUGCACGGUGCAGGUGUGCACAGCACCACACAUGCAAGCACCACAGGGACAUGCACAGCACCACGUGUGUGCAAGGAGCGGAUGUGCUCAGCACCCCCUGCACAGCGCAGUUGUGCACAGCACCACGUGUGUGCAAGCAGCGGAUGUGCUCAGCACCACGUGCAUGCAUGCACAGUGCAGAUUUUGCACAGCACCAAUGCGCGCGUGCCCGAUGCAGAUCUGCGUGCACGGUGCAGCCUUGCACAGGACCACGUGUGUGCAUGCACGGCGCAGAUUUGCACCGCACCGAUGCGUGCACGCACCUUGCAGAGUUGCACAGCACCACACACGCACGCAAGAGGCCGAUUUGCACGGCGCCGGUGCGUGCACCCUGCAGAGCUGCAGCCCCGAUGCACGCACAGCGCAGGUCUGCACAGCACCAGCGCAUGCACGAUGCAGACGUGCACGGCACCAGUGCACGCACCUUGCAGCCCCGAUGCACGCACAGUGCAGACGUGCACAGCACCAGCGCACGCACCUUGCGUAUUUGCAGCACCAGAGCACGCACAGUGCAGAUCUGCACGGCACCAGUGCACGCACCUUGCAGCCCCGAUGCGUGCACGAUGCAGACGUGCACAGCACCAGUGCACGCACCUUGCAGCCCCGAUGCACGCACGAUGCAGACAUGCACGGCACCAAAGCACGCACCUUGCAGCCCCGAUGCACGCACGAUGCAGACGUGCACGGCACCAGUGCACGCACCUUGCAGCUCUGCAGCCCUGAUGCGUGCACGAUG